rnacentral:rRNA from 1 species
UGGAGAGUUUGAUCCUGGCUCAGGACGAACGCUGGCGGCGUGCUUAACACAUGCAAGUCGAGCGGUAAGGCCCUUCGGGGUACACGAGCGGCGAACGGGUGAGUAACACGUGGGUGAUCUGCCUCGUACUCUGGGAUAAGCCUGGGAAACUGGGUCUAAUACCGGAUAUGACCACGAAUCGCAUGGUUUGUGGUGGAAAGAUUUAUCGGUGCGAGAUGGGCCCGCGGCCUAUCAGCUUGUUGGUGGGGUAAUGGCCUACCAAGGCGACGACGGGUAGCCGACCUGAGAGGGUGACCGGCCACACUGGGACUGAGACACGGCCCAGACUCCUACGGGAGGCAGCAGUGGGGAAUAUUGCACAAUGGGCGAAAGCCUGAUGCAGCGACGCCGCGUGAGGGAUGACGGCCUUCGGGUUGUAAACCUCUUUCGACAGGGACGAAGCGAAAGUGACGGUACCUGUAGAAGAAGCACCGGCCAACUACGUGCCAGCAGCCGCGGUA